AGUAAAUUAGGAUUCAUCGAAUUCAUUUGUUGGGUUCGUUGGUUUUUUUAUGAGGCUAGCAACUGAUGAAAGUUGGGUAGGAUGACAGUGAUAGGUUGGGUCUCACAAUAAGAAUUAGGCUUCACUUUGGCCCAUUUGGCAUAUUUGCUACUUGUUUGAGAAAAGAAAUGAAGCACUCAACUUCGGAAGAGAAGGAGGAAAGUGCCCAUCAAAGUGAAGAGCACUGUGAUCGAAAAAGCAGCAGAAACCACUGAUGUUAAUGCCUCACUAGUAAAAUGACUGUGGUCAUUAUGUAUUUAGAUUUUCUGAAUCAUCUUAUCAUAUGCAUAUCAGCUUAUUGUUUUUUUUUUUGUACUUUAUUUUUGUUGUCUUGUUUUGUUGUUAAAUGAGGUUGCAAAAGGUACUGAUGGUGGACGCAGGCUGAGUCUAGAGGAGAACAUGUUCAAUGACUUGACUAUGAUUCAAGAGCACGUACUGUCGGAUAAGGAUGUAACAAAGACGAUUCUGAAGAACCAUAAUGACCAGCUGCGCACCAUUAGCGAGCUUCUGGAAGAUCAUGGGAAAGCCAUUCAAGUCUUGAUAAUGCUAGUCAACACUGCCAAUGACAAUAAACCCAGGAAAAAGGUCUCCAAAGCACGUUGACCAUGCCUAAAACUAAAGGAAGGAAAGAUACGGAUAACGGGAAUCUGGCAGAAUCUCGCUGGGAGAAAAAGCCUGUGCGGGUGCAUGCAUCCUCCUGGAAAGCAAUUGGUGAAAAGGACUAUGUAUUCCUCCUCUAACAGGAAGGCUGCAGCAAUGACGAAUAAGCAUAGUAGCCAUUGUCGACCAGCGACGGGAGCCGAAGCGAAGUUGACCUCGUUGAAGGUGAUGUGUGAUAUAUUCAACGUGCCGUUAGGUUUUGAUGCCCAUACAUGUGCCUAAUUCCAGAGAAAAACUUGAUUGUUUUUUCUUUCGACAGCAGAAGCUAACCUUUGAGGACCUGGAUUCAUCGGCUUCACUGGGUUUCGACGUCAGGCAAACUGAUCCUGAGACUCUAUUCACUUACCACAGUCAUCAUGGACACCAUGCUGCCGAGGACAUGCCCCUGGUAAGUCCAUUUUCAUUAUAUAUGUACGUUUCAGGUCUAGUACUUGUAAUUCUCAUAUCGUGGUUGAUGCGACUGACUGUAACGUACGGUUACACAGUGCUUGAAUGUCUCAUUUCCUCCCCCGACAGGAAUGCACUUUGUCAGCAAAGAGCUUGUUGUUGUGGCAUACAUAUUCUCAUCGGAUUUGGACAUGAGGUAAAAUUACUUCUUACUAGCCCAUGACGAAGAAAGUGGGAGUUUGUUAUCACAUGUGUUUUGCUUGCUAUUGUAGAAAUAAUUGCUUACUGAACACUAAACUUGUUGCAUCCAGGGAGGUUCUUCUUGAGGAUGAAAAUGCUCGAGGAGACUGAGGUGCACUUACUACACUAUGUCCUGGGCAACUAGUAGUUGAGGAUGUAAGUAUAUGUUGUCAUUGACGAUUGGAAUCGUGACGAAAGUAAUAGUUUAACUAACACUUAUUCCAUUUUCUUGUAGGUUAUAAAUCUGAGUUGAACAAUGCUAACUUAUGACAAUAAACUCCCAUCCUGGUUUCUUGCAAUCACCUUUUCGGUAGUAUUUCUCUAUUAACUUAUGAUUUUACAUAAUUCGUAAUACUAAACCCUCACAUAUCAAUUAACCCAUCGACGUAUGCCUUUGCAGCAAGUGGCACUUAUCUCAAUGAAUCAUGGUAUAGACACAUUUGAGUACAUCCACACUAGGUUCAUGGGCAUUGCAGAUGACGUCUAGAUGAUGAGUCUAGCAACCCACAACUUGAAAUUGUCAUUCGGAAUUGCUUAAUUUUGUACUUAUGUUUCGAUCUUGACUAUGGUGCUGGCUCAGAUAUACGUCCUGAUAUAUAGAGACUAUCAUUGGUACCUCAUGGUAGUGGAUUUAAUAAAUUGCAGGUUGCUGUGUUUGGAUUUGGAUUUGGCAAAGCAUGAUGACCAUAGAGAAGUUAGGGUGUCACAAAUGAAAUUCGUGUCUUUCUUCAUUGAGAACAUGCUGGAGGAUAAGAGAUUUUGGAAAAAACCAGACAAUUACAAGCCACACCCAUCAACUUUCGAUGUUAUUGAGCCAACAGUUGGCUAGCAAGGAAUGAUUGUGGAGUUUGGGUGUGUCAAUGGAUAAUGAAAAAUUGGGUUUGGGGUAAUAUUGAGUUAGAGGUAAGUCACUGACAUCCUUAAACGAGGAGUUGCUUUGGUUUAAUUUUCGUCCGCCAUCGUAGUAUAUAAGAGCUUCAGUUUCCGAAAACCAUCAUCUACUUAGAAGAUAUUGUUUUGUAGGAGGUAAAUGAACAAACAAGGUUGAGGUUAGCUCUUGAUUUGGCAUCUUCUUCCUCCUCCGUGCUCUCCUCUCCUUACUACGUCGCUACGCCGCUUCUUCGUGCGCUCCUCUCCUCGCAAUGCCACUGCUUCGUGGCCUCCUCUCCUCGCUACGUUGUGUGACGCCGCUGCUCCAUUCUCUCCUUGGCAAUUAAAUUUAGAAUGGAUAGUACCAACAUGAAUGUAGUGGCUCAAGAACAACAAGAAGAAAUUCCUGUUGAAGAAACUACAAAUUUUUGUUCCGAACGAGUUUGCCUCAAUUGAAAAUAGCAACAAAUCUUUAUUGAAAAGUGUUUAUUGGCAAUACUUUAGUAGAUAUAAAGAGGGGGAAGAGUGGAAGGCAAAGUGCAACCAUUGUAUGUCUGUUAUUGGUGCCAAUCCAAGGAAUGGGACUACAAAUUUGAAGAAACAUGUACUCCAUUAUUGUAAGAGAAUAAAAUUAGCAAACUCAAGACAAUCAACAAUUGCUAAAUCUCUUCAAAGACAUGGGAAGAGUAGUUCAGAUGCUUUUCUAUUUGAUGGAUCUCACACAAAAAAAUUAAUUGCCAAGUUCAUUUGUAUGCAUGAGUAUCCUUUGUCAUAUGUGGAUCAUGUUGCAAUAAGGAAAGUGUUUACUUCAAUGCAACCAACGUUUAAGAUGCCAAGCCGAAACACAAUCAAGAUGAUUCAUGCAAAUGAUAGUCGAGUAGCUAUUACAACUGACAUGUGGACUUCCAACCAGAAAAAGGGUAUAUGGUUGUUACAACAUACUACAUUGAUAGUUCAUAGAAUUUGCAAAUACUAGUAUUGAGGUAAUACCUUAAACUUUGCUUCUAGUAUAUGAUAUGCUUUCUAAUGCUUGAUAUACUUGUAAUAUUUUUUUAUCUGAUAUAUUUUUAACAAUGUUCAGCUUUAUUUAUGUUCCUACUCCUCAUUCAAAUGAAGUUCUCU